rfam:Ictidomys tridecemlineatus contig057969, whole genome shotgun sequence.
UGGGUUGUGGCUCAGUGGUAGAGCACUCGCCUAGCAUGUAUGAGGCCCUGGGUUCAAUCCUCAGCAUCACAU